rnacentral:rRNA from 1 species
AGAGACAGCAGUAGCCACGGGAAUACGAAGGGUGCAAGCGUUACUCGGAAUUACUGGGCGUAAAGCGUGCGUAGGUGGUUGUUUAAGUCUGCUGUGAAAGCCCUGGGCUCAACCUGGGAAUUGCAGUGGAUACUGGGCAACUAGAGUAAGGUAGAGGAUAGUGGAAUUUCCGGUGUAGCAGUGAAAUGCGUAGAGAUCGGAAGGAACAUCUGUGGCGAAGGCGACUAUCUGGGCCAUUACUGACACUGAGGCACGAAAGCGUGGGGAGCAAACAGGAUUAGAUACCCCCGUAGUCCCUGUCUCUUAUAC